GAAACAGUUUCAGUACUUAAUCUGAAGGGAUACAUGUUCUUUGUCUACUAAUGUGGACCAUCAAUAAAUAGCAAGUCCCUUCCUCUAAAAGAGUUUGAAUGGAAGAAUAACUCGUGACAAGGGGAAUCGAAUACCCAUCGCUAGAGCCAAAGAGACAACCCGACCCCUCGUCCCUCGGCAGAAUACUUGAAUAUUGAUUAAGCAUGCACAUCGCGAUUACUGGAAGCAGGUAAAAGCGCUCCUGGUUGGGCUGCGUGUCUGCGGAUAUUUAUACGGGACGUUGUCUCUGUCCCACUGCAACAGGAAAGUCUCAAAGACCGUGGUCCUAACCGUGACUCGUUUAAAGAAACCUCGCUUUAAAAACUUCGAUAAAAAUUGUACUCGCGUUUCCUUAACUUCGUUUAUUUACCAGGUCACUUUGUCGUGCAAAAAAUUAUUACGAGCAAGAAAAAUGAUGUUAGAAGUUAACUCGUCAUUAGAACAUCCGAUCGAUCAGAAUUAACCGUUCCACCUGAUGGUACCUCUCCACGAAACGAUCGAAUCUAUUCUUCGACUUCUAAAACCAUUAUCCACGGCGUAAGAACCGACCAGACUGCAUGCUAUUUGGUUUACGAUCAGCUUUUCAAGGAUCAACCUUCUCGACUCAUUGUUCCGCCGCGGUCUGGCCUACUUCCAGAAUGAUCAGCCGAGUGGCGGAGAGCUCGUUCCUGUUUUCAGCGUGGAAUUUAGUUUCCUUUGUCGCACUGUUACGUCUGGAGAUCCACUCGAGGACCUAGCUAACUUUUUCGUUCAAACGGAACGCGUAUCGUCACAUAUUCUUUGAAAACCUUGUUCGAUAUUGCUAACAGAGCGGUGACAUCGUUUAAAACGUUACGAAAUACCAUCAGAAGCGAAGACAAAAGGAAGCUCUUGUUGUUGAGUGAUAGCAGUAAGCUCGUUGCGUAGCUUUCGAGAUGUCACCGACAGUUUGAAGUCUAAAUCCAGCCAAUUCUCUGGACCAACUCUGCGUGAAAAAAGUUUUUCACGACCAAGCCUGUACGCGGAGGCGUAGACUAGCAACCAUGUGGCCAACUAGCCGUUGACUUCCUCGUUCUUGACCACGAUCAACCACCACUCGACACCGGGUUUACGAUGAAAAAAAGCGACGUAGAACAAAAGGGAGGAGAGAAGCCCUCGAGUUUUUGAAUAUUCAGUAGGUACAUCCUGGUCGACUUCCACCUGACUCUCUUUCAGCGGGGAAAAAUCGGCACGUUCCGGGUCGUAUACGGGCCAAGACAUGCCGACACCGACGCUGAUACAACUUUUAAUUACUUUCCGGAGAAAUAAAACGCCCCCAGAGGUGGUUGACUUUCAUCACGUGGAUCAAGAUAGAUCGCUUACAGAAAGAUGUUCACAGUUUCGUUUACCGACAGAUAUUGGGCAAUUUUAUCAACUGCGGAUACGCAGGAUGGUCGUGAAAUCUUCUUUAUCGAUGGGGGACAUUUAUACCGACAGAAGAUAAUAAUGGCACAUAAAUCUAUCGGUAAUGUCAACUGAAAUCUUCUUUAUCGAUGGGGGACAUUUAUACCGACAGAAAUUAAUAAUGGCACAUAAAUCUAUCGGUAAUGUGGACUGAAAUCUUCCUUGUCGACACAGAGAUAUUUUUAGCGUUCGUCCUUAUCGACGCUCGAUAUCUUACCGACAGAGAACUCUGCCUCGUGUUUAUCAACGCAAGCUCAAAAAAAAGAAGUAACAGCUUUGAAUAGA